rnacentral:rRNA from 1 species
GACGAACGCUGGCGGCGUGCUUAACACAUGCAAGUCGAACGAUGAAGCCGGAGCUUGCUCUGGUGAAUUAGUGGCGAACGGGUGAGUAACACGUGAGUAACCUGCCCUUGACUCUGGGAUAACUGCGGGAAACGGUAGCUAAUACCGGAUACGACCCUCGGAGGCAUCUCCUGGGGGUGGAAAGAAUUUCGGUCAAGGAUGGACUCGCGGCAUAUCAGCUAGUUGGUGAGGUAAAGGCUCACCAAGGCGACGACGGGUCGCCGGCCUGAGAGGGUGACCGGCCACAAGGGGACUGAGACACGGCCCAGACUCCUACGGGAGGCAGCAGUGGGGAAUAUUGCACAAUGGGCGCAAGCCUGAUGCAGCAACGCCGCGUGAGGGAUGACGGCCUUCGGGUUGUAAACCUCUUUUAGCAGGGAAGAAGCGAAAGUGACGUUACCUGCAGAAAAAGCACCGGCUAACUACGUGCCAGCCGCCGCGGUAA